ensembl:lncRNA
GGGAGGGGCUAUGAGGGGAUGGGCAGAGGGUGACAGAGAGAGGAACUGACUGACAAAGGGAUGGAGGGGACAAAGGGGACCGCUAGGGGGCAGGUUUCAUCCCAGGAGGUCGUAAGUGCCACCAGGUCCCCGACACCUCCCCUGUCCCCUCCCCAGCUGUCCCCAGCCCUGCUGCAGCCACAGGUCACCAUGGUGGCCAUCCUGGUUGAGCUGCUGGAUAUCCUGCACAGGCGGGACGAGGAGAUGCUGAUGCUGCUCGAGUCCCCAAGGUGCCUGUACAGUGAACUGGUGGAUUUCACCGAGGAGUUCCACUCCAUCCUGGAAUACACUGAUGACACCUGGUACCACCGCAAUAACUCCUCUUUAACUGACCCUCUCACCUCCCUGAGCCAGGCCCUGGCUGCCUACAAGAGCACCCCAUGGACCACCUGGUUCCAUGUGAAAAUAGCAGCGAGCAAGUGGCAGGAGGCGGUGUCUCUGCUUGUGGACAGGUGGGCCAGGCUGCCCAGGAAGGCCACCGAGCUCCACAACGCCUGCAGGGAGGUGGCCGACAGGGCGGCCACUGCCACUGCCCGGGCCAGGGACCUGCAUCAUGAGAUUGCCCAUUAUGAGACAGCUCAGGAAAACAUGGAGCUGGAUCAGGCCCUGGGCAGGGAGGAGGGGGCCGAGGUGAUGGCCGGGCAUAAAGCCCAGGUGAGGAGAGAGGCCAUGGUGGCUGCCAGCGAGGCAACAAGGGCCACCAUGGUGAGACAGCGGGUGGAGGCGGCCCUGGGGCUGCUGGAGCGCUUGGUGGCCACGUGUGACGAAGCCACCGCGUUCACCCGGGAGCUGCAGCGCAGGGUUGGGGACAUCAAGACCAGCUUGAAGGGGACAAAUGAGGCAUCAUACGAUGUCCCUGAGGACUUGGUGGCCAGGGUGGCCAUGGCUGAGCGGCUGUGGGAGGCCAACAACCGCCUGGCCAAGGAUCACCUGGAGGAGACGCUUGACGACAUCAUCAAGUUCUAUAUCGAUGGUGAACCCGUCAGCCCCAGUGGCUGUGGCGUGGCCGAGCGGUGCCAAAGAGCCACUGAGGACAUCCCAAGGCUCCUCAAACCCCGAGAGCGUCCCCAAGGUGUCCCCAAGGUGUCUCCAGUGAGCAUGGAGCUCCAAGAGCUGUCCCCAACCCUGCUGCAGCCACAGGUCACCGUGGUGGCCAUCCUGGGCAAGCUCCUGGCCACCCUGCCCAGGCGGGACAAGAUGAAUCUCGUGUCCGCAGUGGACCUGUACUGGGAACUGGUGAACUUCACCAAGGACCUUCGGGUCACCCUGUACUGCACUGAUGCCACCUGGCAGCGCCACAAUGUCACUUCCAAUGGUGAUGACCCUGUCACCUUGCUGAGCCAGGUCCUGGUCACCUACAAGAGCACCCCAUGGACCCCCCAGAACCGUGUGACAAUGGCAGCCAGGAAGUGGCAGCAGUUGGUGGCCACGCUCAUGAACAGCUGGGCCCGGCUGGCCAGGGCAGCCACCAAGCUCCGCAACAGCUGCAUAGAGGCGGCUGCUGAGGCGGUUGACAGAGUCGCCCAGGCCAGAGAACAACAGCGCAGGGCUGCCUAUGGUGGGACAGCUCAGGAAAACAUGGUGGAGCUGGGUCAGGCCCUGGGCAGGGAGGAGGGGGCCGAGGAGGAGGAUCCCUAUAAAGCCCAGAAAAGGAGAGAUGCCAGGGUGGCUGCCAGCGAGGCAACAAGGGCCACCAUGGUGAGACAGCAGCUGGAGGUGGCCCUGGGGCUGCUGGAGCCCUUGGUGGCCGCGUGUGACGAAGCCACCGCGUUUCCCCGGGAGCUGGAGUGGCGGCUCAGGGACAUUGAGGCUGCCCUGAAGGGGACAAAUGAGGCGUCCCCUGAUGUCCCGGCGGACUUGGUGGCCAAGGUGGCUGAGGCUGAGCGGCUGUGGAAGGCCAACGCCCGCCUGGCCAAGGAUCACCUAUGGGGGAUGCUUGAUGACAUCAUCAACUUCUAUUUCACUGCUGGUCCCACCAGCCCCAGUGCCUGUGAGGUUGCCAAGCGGUGCCAAAGAGCCACCGAGGACAUCCCAAGGCUCCUUCGACCUGUGGAGCAUCCCCAAGAUGU